GGUGAAAUUCUUGGACCGUCGCAAGACGGACAGAAGCGAAAGCAUUUGCCAAGAAUGUUUUCUCUGAUCAAGAACGAAAGUUAGAGGUUCGAAGGCGAUCAGAUACCGCCCUAGUUCUAACCAUAAACGAUGCCAGCCAGCAAUCCGCCGAAGUUCCUCCGAUGACUCGGCGGGCGGCUUCCGGGAAACCAAAGCUUUUGGGUUCCGGGGGAAGUUUAAAGGAAUUGACGGAAGGGCACCACCAGGAGUGGAGCCUGCGGAUGGUUGCAAAGCUGAAACCUUAAUUUGACUCAACACGGGAAACCUCACCAGGCCCAGACACCGGGAGGAUUGACAGAUUGAGAGCUCUUUCUUGAUUCGGUGGGUGGUGGUGCAUGGCCGUUCUUAGUUGGUGGAGCGAUUUGUCUGGUUAAUUCCGAUAACGAACGAGACUC
rnacentral:rRNA from 1 species